ensembl:scaRNA
AUGGAGGUAAAGAAAGUGAGGCAAGUGAAGACUAUGUUGCCUUCUCUGAUACCCACCUCCUAAAUUAAAUAGCAGAGAGAAGAUCCUUGGUCUAAAGAAGAGAGCCAUGGGUUACUGCAUCUGCCGACAACA